UACCUCUACUUAUCUGACUGCAGGACUCAUACCAGAGAACAGUUGAACAUGAUGGACUGUAGGACAGGACUGCUGCUCUUAACUAUCUGCUGGGCAGGUGUUGAUGGUCAGACUCUGACUGAAUCUGGACCUGCAGUAAAAAGACCUGGAGAAUCCCACAGACUGACCUGUACAACAUCUGGAUUCACAUUCAGCAGCUACUGGAUGGCCUGGAUCAGACAGGCUCCUGGAAAAGGACUGGAGUGGAUCACUUAUAUUGCUACUACUACCACUUACUAUUCCCAGUCAGUCCAAGGCCGUUUCACCAUCUCCAGAGACAACGGCAGAAACCAGCUGUAUCUGCAGAUGAACAGUCUGAAAACUGAAGAUUCUGCUGUUUAUUAUUGUGCUCGACACCCACAGUGA